UUGUAGAUAGGAAUCAAGAAACUUGCGAGAUGAUAUUUACAGGUCAGUCUUUUCGACAGUAUCGUGGAAUCACGUUGUACAACUGAUCGAUACGACAUAGACAUUGUGACACCAUUACGAAGUAAUUGCACAAUCACACGUGACCCAUCGUACUAGACUGUUAAUUGCUGGAAGGUGUUGGGUCGCGUCAAGGUUGGGAACUGCAGAUAAAUAAAAAGUGGGGAGGUCUAUGAAAUCGUAACGUAUACGCGACGCCAUCGACCAAAUAAACCGAGAGGAACACAAUCUCGUUUAUUUCUGAAAGAAGAACUUCGCGAUGUGCAGUAUCAAGGUGUGAACAAAAUUCUUGUAAUAAGUCUUGCGAAGAUAUUUCCGACGUUGGAAUACAAAUUGAAGAAUCGAUAAUUGGAACUCUUUAUCAGAAGUCUGCCAAUCAUGCAAGGACGCCGCAUUUCGAGAUUCGAAUUGGCAAUUAGACAGAUUCAAGAUUCGCUUCUUCCGGUUGUGGAUCUCCCUAAGCAACGAUUGGUCACGAUUAAUAUGCGUUUCGAAUCGUGCAGGGAAUCGGAGGAAUAUAAAAAAUUAUCCUUCGUUUAAAAGUUAAUGGGUCGCCCAACGCAAAGGAAACAUUAAAAUUCGCACGGGACAAUGAAUAGUGACGAUAUUAAGUUUUACGAAAAUUAGAACAUCUAUAGAUACGUAUAUCGUAAUUAGUAAUUUGGGAAUCAACUUUCUUGCUAUUUCUUGUUCCAAAUUUCGUGUUUUCCAACCUGCAUAAAUAUUGGACGAGUAAAUACUGGAGAGACCAGAGGCGAUCCUGACAUUGAAUAAUAUGAAUUUAAAGAUAAUGACACUUAAAGUAUAUACGUACGAUCAACGUGGCACGAGAGUCAACGUUUACCGAUUUAAUCAUUUAAAAUCAAAAUUUGACAAUUUUUAAGCAACUUAACGGAUCUGUGCGAUCCAAAAUGAAAAUCCUAUUACAUGAAUAUUAUUAAAAUAUAGAUAGCGAUGAA